rnacentral:rRNA from 1 species
UACGAAGGGGGCUAGCGUUGUUCGGAUUUACUGGGCGUAAAGGGCGCGUAGGCGGCAAUUCAAGUCAUCUGUGAAAUCUCCGGGCUUAACCCGGAACGGUCAGAUGAUACUGCUUUGCUAGAGUGCGGAAGGGGCAAUCGGAAUUCUUGGUGUAGCGGUGAAAUGCGUAGAUAUCGCUUGGAACGCCGAAGGUGAAGACAGGCAACUGGACGUGCGCCGACGCUGAGACGCGAAAGCCAGGGGAGCGAACGGG